rnacentral:rRNA from 1 species
CCCUGCAGUGGUUUCCCACUGAAACUAAGCAGGGUUGAGCCUGGCCAGUAAGGGAGACCUCCUGGGGAAAACUAAGGUUGCUGCAGGAA